UUCAUUCAGCAUAAUGCACUCAAUGUCCAUCCGUGUGUGUGUGUGUGCGUGUGUGUGUGUGUGUGUGUAUGUGUACAUAUACACACACAUACAUACACCACAUCUUAUUU
rnacentral:miRNA from 14 species